rnacentral:rRNA from 1 species
UACGUAGGGUGCGAGCGUUAAUCGGAAUUACUGGGCGUAAAGCGUGCGCAGGCGGUUGUGCAAGACCGAUGUGAAAUCCCCGGGCUUAACCUGGGAAUGGCAUUGGUGACUGCACGGCUAGAGUGUGUCAGAGGGGGGUAGAAUUCCACGUGUAGCAGUGAAAUGCGUAGAGAUGUGGAGGAAUACCGAUGGCGAAGGCAGCCCCCCUGGGAUAACACUGACGCUCAUGCACGAAAGCGUGGGGGAGCAAACAGG